GUUAUUUUGUGCAGCCCAGUUAGCCCAGUUUAACUAGAGUGACCCCUGAGCCUUUUAGUAGCGAGAACAGAAACCUGGCACACAGACAUAACUUGAAGCUCUGGAAGUUGUUUGUUGGUGUGGUCAUGCUUUCCACCAGUGUGCAUUGGGCAUGUCUGCCAGGUGCCUGGCUGGGAGGACCUGGUCAGGGCAGUUGAGAAACAGGUUCUCACAGAGCUAUGAUCUGUGGGAAGAGAAAAUUUCUAAGGAACUACCCAAUAAAUACAGCAUUAUGAAUCUGGUGAGGUGCCAUAUUAAGAAACCAUGGAGCACACAGUGGAGAAGAGUGGGAAAACCUCUCUCUUUUCUGUGCGAAGCAGGUUUUUUUGAGGAGUUGAUGCUGAAAAGACCUGGAAAGAGGAAGCCAGUCUUGAACACACAGGAGGAGUGUCCCUGUGUAUGGUUGAGGUUGGCCCUGUGAGGUGAAAAAUGUACUGUGUGCCAAAAGGCAGUUGCUGUGACCACAACACAGGACAAAUGUCCAUAAGAUUGUGUUAGAAAGGAAUCUAACAGUCAUUUUGGACUUGAACACCUGACCCCCAGCUGGGAACACAUUCACGGUGCUUGGAACCCAAGGCUUCAAGGAAGAGUUGAACAGAGAUGUCACAGGAGCCCUGAGACAUGCAGGCAUCAGUGACAAGGAAUCUUUACAGGUGAAGUUCUGCCCAAGGACCAGGGGAGAGGUUUGGAAAUUGGCAGCCUAUGGAGGCUGUUUACAGAUCUAUAUUUGUGUAUUCACGUUAGGAGAAAAAUAACUUCCCUUGGCCGACCUAGAAUUUGAGGUGGUAUGGGAGAGGGUGGAGGAGGAAACAAGGCAGGCAGGCAGGCAGGCUUGGGGGAAGCUGGGUAAUGGAUUUUGCCCUUGCCAGGAGCUUCCAGGUCCCGGGGUGGGGGGGUGAGGUUAGGCAUCAGUGGGUGGGAGUGACCUUGAUGAGCUUAUCCCUCAGGAUGCUGGGUUUACUGUGAAUGGGAGGCAAGUAGGAGAUGGAGGAGCAGUCUGCUGACACAGCUGUGAGGUUUUGCCUGUGUGAGUGUAUCAGGUGGAUCUAAUGUUUUAAUCUCAGCAGCAUUCUGUGUUUUUAGUUCAAGGAGAACAGGCACACUGCUAUCGUCUGCCACUGAGAACUCCUGGUUGCUGCACUUCAACCAAUGUGGUACCCCAAGUUCACUAGUUAGGAUCUGCUCCAUGCUGUGGGCUGAUUAUAAGUAGGCCUGGAGUUGCCCGUGUGCUCCAUACCCUUCCAAGGUUAAAAGAAUUUUAAACUUAAUUUCUAGUAACCAAGCAGAGCAUUGCUGUAGUGUUGUUUGAUUUGAACCAUACAGCAAACAAAUCUGGAGUUGGAUGGGGCUGUAGGCUGGAGUCUGGGGUCUGCAGAAGUGCACAGAUACUAGGUAUCUUGAUUGAGCUGGGUCCUAUGCAGCCUAAUAAACCGUGCAGUGUGGAGCUGACAGGAGCGACUCAGAGCAGGCCGGGCUGCUGCACUAGCAGCAUUUCCUGUUGUGCCUGGGCAUAGUGAUCAUGGUGUAGGAAGUCGAAGGAGCUAGAGGAUGAGGAGGGGUGGUGAACAGAGGACAGAGUAAUCUUAGUGAUCAUACUAGCUGACCCUCACUUGCCACACACAUUCGUAUACAAUCCCUGGCUUUGCAUUUUAAGUUUAGAAUCAGCCCAAUGUGCUGGGCUGAUGACAUUCCAGUGAUGAUUUUGCACGCAGAAUUCUCUGUCCAAUUUUUCGCUUGUUUUUUUUAAGAUCCUAAGUGCCCAUGGAAUUCAGCAAAUUUAAUUGGAAAAGAAUGAAACCAGAAUGUAUGCUAUGUGAACACAAGGGCCUUCACUGUGGCCACCAGAGGGCGCUGCAGGCUUGCCUGUGAGUGAAGCCAGAGGCCAGCAGGCACCCUCAUUGGAAUAGGGCUGAGACAUGAAGGGCUGUGCUCCCAGCCUGUCUUCCAGGAAACCACAUCUGUCUCCAUUCAUAUUGAGCACUAAUCUUAUUGCCUAGGCUCAGUAGCUCCAGGAGUCAGUGUGGGCAGUGUGGGCAGGAUAGCAUGUGAAGCCAAUGUCACUCAAGAGCAUAUUUCAAAAAAGAAACAAGCAGCAGGUGCUCUGCAUGUUUGGCCAAAUUCUUUUCUGGUGAUUUUUUUUUAAAUGGUCCUAAAGCAAAAUGCUUUGCCAAAAAAAAAAAAAAAAA